AGAAGUUUUCAGUAACAACAGUUUAUGGCUGGGAUUCCACUUUAGUUUUUGAGCCAAAGCCAGCAAUGUAUUGAAAAGGAAUGGGAAAUAUAAGGAAGGACUUAUUCUUUGCCUUUCUUAUUGAACCUACAUCUGGCUUUGGCUCACUGGCAAGUGGAAUCCCAGUCUAAGGGAUUAUUGAGCAGCUUUCUCAUUAAAACAAUCACCAAACGCGUUUCAGGGAAAGGGGUCAGGCUAUACCUUACUAUACCCAGAAAUGCGUUUGGUGAUUGUAUUUAAUGAGAAAGCGGCUAUCCAGGCUUGAUCCUUAUACACACAAAUACAAGUGUUUUUUGAAGUACGCCACUGAGACUUUUUUACACCUGCGGAGAAUUACUGGACCCAGAGGAAAUAGGCAGCGCACGCCCCAUACCUGGUCAGAUGAUCUGCAGUUAGCUGACCGCAACUUCCAGCAAGCUCGCCAGCGUGUGCAGCCGCAUUGAACAUCAUAAGCCGCCACCGGCUGGAGCGAGAGGGCACGCAGCCACAGGCAGGAGCUGAACCGGUCGACGUGGAGUGGCGAGUAGCACAGAGUGCCAGUAGCAUCAAGUUUUCUCUCGCAGGUGGACUAAAGUGCUGAUACCAGUUAGUUACAUGCAGAUCAUUUUUUAUUACAGAUGGAAUAUAUCGCCGCAAACUAGUCAUUUAUGUGAAUGAUUAAGGCUCAGUGUUUGAAAUUUAAGUGCAACAUUUUCUUUGUACAGGUGAUAUGAACCCAUAAUCCUAGUGUGUUACAUAUACACACAGAGUGUGUGACAAGCCAUGAUUGUAUUGUUUUGUUGUAUGCCUUUAUAUAGUACACCGCAAAGGCCCUGUGGAGGCAAUUUUAGUAGGAGCAGAUAUUCCGUCUUUCUCAUAUAAUUUGUGUUUCAUUAAUAUUUUGCAUUUUAUUAUUAUUUAAUAUUUGAUAUGGUUUAGCUGGCUUCAUGUAAUUAUCUCACCAUAUACCCACCACACCCUCAGCAUUCUGACUGACUGAGACA